rnacentral:rRNA from 1 species
UACGUAGGGUGCGAGCGUUGUCCGGAAUUACUGGGCGUAAAGCGCACGUAGGCGGAUCUUUAAGUCAGAGGUGAAAUCCCAAGGCUCAACCUUGGAACUGCCUUUGAUACUGGGGAUCUUGAGUCCGGGAGAGGUGAGUGGAACUGCGAGUGUAGAGGUGAAAUUCGUAGAUAUUCGCAAGAACACCAGUGGCGAAGGCGGCUCACUGGCCCGGAACUGACGCUGAGGCACGAAAGCGUGGGGAGCAAACAGG